GAACGGUAAGGCCCUUCGGGGUACACGAGUGGCGAACGGGUGAGUAACACGUGAGUAACCUGCCCCUUUCUCUGGGAUAACAUCUGGAAACAGAUGCUAAUACCGGAUAUUCAGCUCUUUGGGCAUCUUUAGGGUUGGAAAGUUUUUUCGGUAAGGGAUGGACUCGCGGCCUAUCAGCUUGUUGGUGAGGUAGUGGCUCACCAAGGCUUCGACGGGUAGCCGGCCUGAGAGGGCGACCGGCCACAUUGGGACUGAGAUACGGCCCAAACUCCUGCGGGAGGCAGCAGUGGGGAAUAUUGCACAAUGGGCGAAAGCCUGAUGCAGCAGCGCCGCGUGUGGGAUGACGGCCUUCGGGUUGUAAACCACUUUCAGCAGGGACGAAGCGGAAGUGACGGUACCUGCAGAAGAAGCACCGGCUAACUACGUGCCAGCAGCCGCGGUGAUACGUAGGGUGCGAGCGUUGUCCGGAUUUAUUGGGCGUAAAGAGCUUGUAGGCGGUUUGUCGCGUCGGGAGUGAAAACUUAAAGCUUAACUUUGAGCUUGCUUUCGAUACGGGCUGACUUGAGGAAGGUAGGGGAGAAUGGAAUUCCUGGUGAAGCGGUGGAAUGCGUUGAUAUCAGGAGGAACACCGGUGGCGAAGGCGGUUCUCUGGACCUUUCCUGACGCUGAGAAGCGAAAGCGUGGGGAGCAAACAGGCUUAGAUACCCUGGUAGUCCACGCUGUAAACGGUGGGUACUAGGUGUGGGGCUCUUUCCACGAGUUCCGUGCCGUAGCUAACGCAUUAAGUACCCCGCCUGGGGAGUACGGCCGCAAGGCUAAAACUCAAAGGAAUUGACGGGGCCCCGCACAAGCGGCGGAGCAUGCGGAUUAAUUCGAUGCAACGCGAAGAACCUUACCUGGGUUUGACAUAUGCCGGAAGCAGUCAGAGAUGGUUGUGCCCUUUUGGCCGGUUUACAGGUGGUGCAUGGCUGUCGUCAGCUCGUGUCGUGAGAUGUUGGGUUAAGUCCCGCAACGAGCGCAACCCUCGUCCAAUGUUGCCAGCGGGUUAUGCCGGGGACUCAUUGGAGACCNNCGGGGUCAACUCGGAGGAAGGUGGGGAUGACGUCAAGUCAUCAUGCCCCUUAUGUCCAGGGCUUCACGCAUGCUACAAUGGCCGGUACAAAGAGUUGCGAGCCUGUGAGGGUGAGCGAAUCUCAAAAAGCCGGUCUCAGUUCGGAUUGGGGUCUGCAACUCGACCCC
rnacentral:rRNA from 1 species